GCGAACGUAGUUCAGUGGUAGAACAUCACCUUGCCAAGGUGAGGGUCGGGGGUUCGACCCCCGUCGUUAGGU
rnacentral:tRNA from 1 species